rnacentral:rRNA from 1 species
ACUGCUCAGUAACACGUGGACAAUCUGCCCUGAAGUGGAGAAUAAUCCCGGGAAACUGGGGGUAAUACUCCAUAGUUCGUUAUUACUGGAAUGUUUUUCGAACGAAAGAUCCGUCGCUUCAGGAUGAGUCUGCGGCCGAUUAGGUAGUUGUUGGGGUAAUUGCCCAACAAGCCUGUAAUCGGUACGGGUUGUGGGAGCAAGAGCCCGGAGAUGGAUUCUGAGACACGAAUCCAGGCCCUACGGGGCGCAGCAGGCGCGAAAACUUUACCAUGCGGGCAACCGUGAUAAGGAAACCCCGAGUGCCAGCACAGGCUGGCUGUCCGCCAGUUUAAACAACUGGCGAAGAAAGGGCCGGGCAAGACCGGUGCCAGCCGCCGCGGUAAUACCGGCGGCUCGAGUGGUGGCCGCUAUUACUGGGCUUAAAGGGUCCGUAGCUUGAUAAUAGGGUCCCUUGAGAAAUCCGCCGGCUUAACUGGCGGGCGUUCAGGGGAAACUUGUUUUCUAGGGACCGGGAGAGGUGAGGGGUACUGCCGGGGUAGGAGUGAAAUCCUGUAAUCCCGGUGGGACCACCUAUGGCGAAGGCAUCUCACCAGAACGGGUCCGACAGUGAGGGACGAAAGCUGGGGGAGCAAACCGGAUUAGAUACCCGGGUAGUCCCAGCUGUAAACUAUGUGCGUUAGGUGUGUCAGUGACCACGUGUCACUGAGGUGCCGAAGGGAAACCGUGAAACGCACCGCCUGGGGGAGUACGGUCGCAAGGCUGAAACUUAAAGGAAUUGGCGGGGGAGCAC